rnacentral:lncRNA from 1 species
AAACACGUGGCCAGCCUGCAGGGGGAGCCACCGUGAUGUGUGAGUAGGGCGGUCAGAUGGGAGAGAAAGAGAAGUGGGGCUUGAGCAUCAGGAAGAGAGAUGGAACUGGAAAGUCCAGGGUGAAGAGGAGCAGCCUGCGCUCUAGGGAGAGCUGGCCCUAUCUCUUACAGGCAGCAGCAUUUGGAAAGUGAGCCCUGUGCCUCCACCAAGCAGCACAGUGGAGCUGGUCCUGGUGGCAGGGGUGUGGUAAUUCAGCCUGGAGGUCUUCAUUGUGGGAGAGCUGACCCUGCUAUUUGUCUGUUAUGAGAUGGCAUGGGCCCAGAGGUGAUGUGUGUGUGUGUGUGUCCCACCCCCGCCCUUCCCCCACCCCUCUGUUAACUCCAGCAGUUGAGAAAGCUGGCCACAAGGUCGUGAGCUCUGGAGAGCUAACCCUGCCCCUCACCGGUUGCAGCAUUUGGGAGAGCAGGCCUGACACCUGGCCUGAAGAGCACGGAAAAAAAAAAAAAAACUGCAAACUACGAAGCAGUCCGCUUUGAGGCAUUGUCUUCACUGUUACAUGAAGUCGCUGAAUGAGCUCUGGGUUAUUUAGGACUACACAGAUGUCACGGGAGAACGUCGAUUAAUAUAAUUUAGUAAGAUGUUUGUGGCUUGUGCUUUUUGUCUGACUACUUCGCACAACCUGACAGACCCUCCUGGAUGUGCCGCGCCUGCUUUCAGGACCUGGCUUUUUAACCCCCGGCUGGAGGGAGACACUGUUUUUUGCUUUUUAAAUUCGGCUUGGGUGUUUGUUUGCAAAUAGGAUCUCACUACGUGGCUUUCAAUCCUCCUGCCUCAGCUCCACCGCACCCGGAUGCAGUUUAAAUUUGGUUCUAAACCGGGAGACAUCGUAAGUCCUGCAUCUCCGAGCCCUGCUGGCUUUCUUCUCCAGCUCGCUGCGUCUUACAGCGACCACAGCACGCAGUCUGUUUUGAGCAUCGGAGUGGCCAGUCAUCUCACAGAACCGUGGCGGGUCAGCUCUCACGUGGUUUAAAUUUAGCCGCUAGGAGCCACCCGCAGCAUCUGCUCCCGGGUCUCCUUGAAAACUUUUCGUAGAAAGCAAAAAGAUCCAGUGUCAAUCGGCGGGCAGAGCUGAUGUUCCCUGAAGGCGAAGGACGUCCUACUGG